ensembl:lincRNA
AUGGACUUGAAUUGCGCCAGGCACCGUGCUGAUGCUGAGUGUCACAGUGCAAAAUUGGCCAGAAUCAUCAUGUCUAUGUGCUCUCCCUCCCAUAAGCAGUUUGAGUGUGUGGCCGCUGAACAGACGAGCCACACCACUGUUGUACAUCCUGUGCUGGGGAUCAGGGAACUCUCCCAUUUCAUUAAUACCUUCGUACAUCAGAUUGUCAAAAUCAUUCCUUUACACAACUGCACAUGCCAUGUAGCUAAAUAAUGGCCAAGGAGACAACAUCACAAGUGUUUUGUGAUUCCCAGAAUUCUCAGAGGAAAAUGGAUAUGCCUACUUUUUACCCUCAUUUUUCCUACUGUCUACUAGUAGAUGUGAUGGCUCAAUUUUGAGGCACCAUUUUGUACCAUGAGGUGACAUACUAAGAAUGGCGAAGCAGCAAGACAAGGAUCCUGAUGACUCAGACAACAG